UGAGAUUUAUCCUGGUCAGGGUAACGCUGGCGGCGUGCUUAAGACAUGCAAGUCGAACGGCAGUCUUCGGACUGUAGUGGCGCACGGGUGAGUAACGCGUAACUGACCUACCCCAAAGUCGCGGAUAACGAUUCGAAAGAAUCGCUAAUACGUGAUGUGCUGUCAGAUUGUGUUCUGCCAGUAAAGAUUGAUUGCUUUGGGAUGGGGUUGCGUUCCAUCAGCUAGUUGGUGGGGUAAAGGCCCACCAAGGCGACGACGGAUAGCCGGCCUGAGAGGGUGGCCGGCCACAGGGGCACUGAGACACGGGUCCCACUCCUACGGGAGGCAGCAGUUAGGAAUCUUCCACAAUGGGCGAAAGCCUGAUGGAGCGACGCCGCGUGAGGGAUGAAGGUCUUCGGAUCGUAAACCUCUGAAUCAGGGACGAAAGACACUUCGGUGGGAUGACGGUACCUGAGUAAUA
rnacentral:rRNA from 1 species